GGCGGGGGGUUUAUUUUCCUUCUCGCCCCGUCGAACAGGAAGCGAAGCGAGGCGGUGCGCGCCGGCCUAGCGGGUGCGGGGCGCGCGCGGCAGCACCAGCAGCGGGAUCUGCUCCAGCCGCUCGGGCCGCGCCCCCCGCCGCCGCCACGCCGCCAGCCUCCGCAGCAGCCCCUGCAGGCGCCGGGGCGCCCACCCGCCGCGCUCGGGGGCCUUCCUGCGGCGCCCUCCGCGGCCCGCGCCGCGCGCCCACAGCCGCCGCCAGCACCAGCAGCCCGCGCCGCCCCCGCCUCCGCCUCCGCCGCCGCCGCCGCCGCCCCGGGGCCUCCGCGCCUCCGCCAUGCCCGCGCUGCCCGCACGCUCCUCCGGGCCGAGGGCUCCUCGGUGCGCGCCCGGGUCGCCCGGGAAACGCGAACGCGGGCCCACAAUGCCCCGCACGGGCCGCCGGGGGUUGGGGGGGAGGAUGGGGGGGAUGGGCCGCGUGACCCCUGCCUGGCCUCGACACCGACACCGAGGGCGGGAUCCAGGCGUGCCCGGGGCUCGAACGGCCCCCUCGGCUCCCCCACUGGAUCCCAACUUGGCUGCCGGGCCCAGGCCAGUGUUGCCUGCAGGCUUGUCGUUUCGGGGACGCUGGUUUCAGGGCUUCUCUGAUUUUCCACAAAGGCGGGGAACCAGUGUCUCAGGAAAGAUCCCCAAACCUGGGGGAAAAUACAUGAACUAACAAGAUGGGGACAACCAAGCUUUCUCCCUGCCCAGGACAGAGGCUCGGAGAGAGAGCUGUGAUUACGACGCAGCAAACUGGACACUAAUUAUAAGCCACACAACUCCCUAGGUGCUGUUCCUUUGUCCUUGGUGCCAAAGCCUCUGCUGCCAAUGUCAAGUGGAGAAUUGCAAGUUCACUGGCAUGCAGCUUUCAGAAGCCCCUCAGCAGCUGGGCAGAAAAGUCCAGGGGAUGCCAAGGACAGGCUGAGCCCUAGGGGCUAGCAUAAGCAACGCAUCCUGGUCUCGACUGUUGGAAGAAUGGGCCUAGGGAUGCAUUUAUUUUGGCACAAUUUUAUUUAAGAAAGCCCCAACCAUGUGUUCAGGCAACAGAUGUCCAGGCGAGGCCCGGGGAGAUGGAGAGGAGUGCUUGCCCCUCUGACUCUUCCUCAUUUGAGACUUGCCCCAGCUUCCAGACCUCGUGUAAAAUGACCCUGCUCCUCCUCUGCCACAAGCUAUGACCCAAACUCCAUCACUCAAAUUGUCUCUCCCCAGAACUGAAAUCCAGAUGGUUUCUGGUUAGAUAUAUAUGGGUGCAGGACCUGAAAGUCAUGUCGAUUCCAGGGUGAGGGCACCAUCAGACCCAGCUUUAAAUAUAUACAAAUGUGGAGGUAUCUAUCCCUUCGAUGUAUUCAAAGCCCUUUCCAGGGCCCCUGGGUGGCUCAGUUGGUUAAGCAUCUGCCUUCGGCUCAGGCCGUAAUCUCAGAGUCCUGGGAUCGAGCCCCACAUGAGGCUCCACAUUCAGCAGGGAGUCUGCUUCUCCCUCUCCCUCUGCCCUUCCCCCCAUACUCUCUCCUCUCUGUCUCUGCCUCAAAAUAAAUAAAUAAAAUCUUAAAAAAAAACA
rnacentral:lncRNA from 12 species